rnacentral:snRNA from 1 species
UUGUGUUACAGCUCUUUGGAGUUUGUCUAGUAGGUCUUCUAGCUUUAGCAGGAAGACCUAU